CAUUUCUAAUUCUAGGGUUUCUCUCUGCAAGUCUUGUGCAUUAGUCCUUGUUAUGUGUAGAGGAUUUUGUCUUUAGGGUUGCUGCACGUGGUCUUUGAAUGUGGUCUUUUUUUUUUUUAAUUUCGCAAAUUCCAUAAAGCUGUGGAAUUUCUUGGAGCCUUAUGGAGUCUUUGCUUGAUUUUUAGCUGGUUAGCUAUUUAAUUGUUUGAUUGGAAUUGGAAUUGUGAGAGAUUUAGGUGACUUUUCUCUGAUGGGUUAAUUCCUGCUUUAGCAUCACAUCAACUGUUCUCUCAUUAGCAUAUGAAUAUGAUCGGUGUAUUCUAUGUGGCUACUUCCUCCAAAUUGAUUUGCAGAAUUUCGAGGAGAAGUUUAAGCAAUUACUUUAGCCUUGAUGUUAUUUAUGAAUGGCAUGGCAUUAAUUCAUUUCAGCUAUCUUACUACCUUGUUCAUCUUCUUGAAUUUCUUCUGAUAAGUAUGAAGUAUCACUUCCUUACUACAUUAACAUGGCAAGUGUCUUUCCUUUUUUAUUUUUUGGAACUGCGGCAAAGUGUCUUUCCUAUAACAAAAGGACUGGGUGAUUUGAAUUGCCAACGGUGAUAAGUUUUUGUUAGAAUGAAUG
rnacentral:misc_RNA from 1 species